rnacentral:lncRNA from 1 species
GGGAGGUGGGGCCUAACUCGUACCAAAACUUCUAACCCAAACCACAUCAAUGAGCAUCCAAAACCUAUUAUUGGAUAUUAUCUCCCGAGCACAAUUUUAUGUUUAUGUCUCGGAUCCAAGAAUAAAGGAUUUGGUAUGGUUUCUGCUUUUGUUUUCGUAUUUUGUGAAAAAAAUUUCGACAUGAUUACUUUAAUUUUUGUUUGAAAACUAAUUUUUUAUUGCACUUUCGUAAUCAAAAGUGUUCUUCUAACCAUUGAAAGAACUUUAAUAAAACUAGCCAAAGGGAUCCAAAAAUAUCUUUUGGGUCUAAAAAACUCUAUUCGACUUCUCAAAAUUCAUGUCAAACACAAACUAUGAGAUGACCCUUUAAUUCGUCUCUGGCCUCGGGGUGACAGAAGGAUCAUAUCAUUUGAGAAUUGUGUGUAUAUGUGUUUGAGUGUGGCGAAGAGGGAUUUUAACUGACCUUGUAGAAAAUUUCCUGAUAGAACUUUUAGUGAGAAAAGCUCUUGAAAUGCAGUUGCUCCUGAUAUAUUAUACCCAAAAAAAAAAAAAAAAUUUAAAUGAGAUUUAUAAGCAAAUGCUAGAUCUCUGUCUAUAAAGAAACACAGAAACACAUUUCUAGAUUUUUCUUUGUAAUUAUAUUUGAUUGAAGAAGUAUUUGAAGAGAGAUAAACUAACCUUAAUCCAAUCUUAAACAUAUUCUCUGAUUUUCUAGUGAAAAAGAGCUCCCAGUGUUUGCGGUAGAUAUGAAACUUCGAACUUAUGAUAAUUUUGUAGGGUGAGAGAGGAGAAGUGUAAGUGUUUGAUGCAGAUAAAGAACUGAUGUAGCUUAGGUAAGAAAGGAAGUCGGCAAAGUUGAGCAUCUGUUGAAAUGCAA